AAAAAAAGUAACAAAAAAAAUAAAAUAAAACAAAAACAAUAAAAAAAAAUUUGACCGCUCCAAAACUGUCUGAAGUUCAAUGUAAAGGCUUCUUCCACAAAAACGAAGAAGAAAUAUUAAUAAUGACUUCGCAAACACACCUUCCAUUUGUUAGCAGUCAAAUAAAUCAUGAAUGAAAUUCCUACAACUCAAAUGGUGUCCACAGAAAAGCAUGGAAUUCGGAGCUUCUUCAAAAAAUAUCUACCAAAGCGCCAGCAGAAAGUCUCCGCUGACACACAUCUGUGC